rnacentral:rRNA from 1 species
UACGUAGGGGGCUAGCGUUGCUCGGAAUCACUGGGCGUAAAGCGCACGUAGGCGGUUUGUUAAGUCAGGGGUGAAAUCCUGGAGCUCAACUCCAGAACUGCCUUUGAUACUGGCGAUCUCGAGUCCGGGAGAGGUGAGUGGAACUGCGAGUGUAGAGGUGAAAUUCGUAGAUAUUCGCAAGAACACCAGUGGCGAAGGCGGCUCACUGGCCCGGUACUGACGCUGAGGUGCGAAAGCGUGGGGAGCAAACAGG